GCCUCGAUCCGGGCCCCUCUGGCGAGAGGGCGGAACGCCGUGCCGGCGCCCCCGCCCCCGUGAUGUCGGAUCAGCUAC
rfam:Acetobacteraceae bacterium AT-5844 genomic scaffold Scfld485, whole genome shotgun sequence.